GACGAACGCUGGCGGCGUGCUUAACACAUGCAAGUCGAACGGUGAAGCGCUUUCCUUUUUGGUUGGUGUGGAUGAGUGGCGAACGGGUGAGUAACACGUGAGUAACCUGCCCCCUUCUUCUGGAUAACCGCAUGAAAGUGUGGCUAAUACGGGAUAUUCUGCGCCUGCUGCAUGGUGGGUGUGGGAAAGAUGGUGCCUUUGGGUGUUUUCGGUGGGGGAUGGGCUCGCGGCCUAUCAGCUUGUUGGUGUGGUGAUGUCAUAUCAAGGCGGUGACGGGUAGCCGGCGUGAGGGGGUGGAAGUUCAUAUUGGAACUGAGCUACGGCCCAGACUAUUACGCGAGGCAGCAGUGGGGAAUAUUGCACAGUGGGUGCGAGCCUGAUGCAGAGAAGCAGCGUGAGGGAUGGGGGCAUUCGGGUUGUGAACCUCUUGCGCGAGUGAAGCAGCCCUGUUCCUUGUGCGUGGGUUGACGGUAGCUGGAUAAGAAGCGCCGGCUAACUCCGUG
rnacentral:rRNA from 1 species